rnacentral:rRNA from 1 species
CAGCAGCCGCGGGAAUACGGAGGGGGCUAGCGUUGUUCGGAAUUACUGGGCGUAAAGCGCACGUAGGCGGCUUUGUAAGUUAGAGGUGAAAGCCCGGAGCUCAACUCCGGAAUUGCCUUUAAGACUGCAGAGCUAGCAGGUGAGAGAGGUGAGUGGAAUUCCGAGUGUAGAGGUGAAAUUCGUAGAUAUUCGGAAGAACACCAGUGGCGAAGGCGGCUCACUGGACUGGUAUUGACGCUGAGGUGCGAAAGCGUGGGGAGCAAACAGGAUUAGAUACCCCGGUAGUCCCUGUCUCUUAUAA